rnacentral:rRNA from 1 species
GACGAACGCUGGCGGCGUGCUUAACACAUGCAAGUCGAACGAAGAGCGAUGGAAGCUUGCUUCUAUCAAUCUUAGUGGCGAAGGGGUGAGUAACGCGUAAUCAACCUGCCCUUCAGAGGGGGACAACAGUUGGAAACGACUGCUAAUACCGCAUACGAUCUAACCUCGGCAUCGAGGAUAGAUGAAAGGUGGCCUCUAUUUAUAAGCUAUCACUGAAGGAGGGGAUUGCGUCUGAUUAGCUAGUUGGAGGGGUAACGGCCCACCAAGGCGAUGAUCAGUAGCCGGUCUGAGAGGAUGAACGGCCACAUUGGGACUGAGACACGGCCCAGACUCCUACGGGAGGCAGCAGUGGGGAAUCUUCCGCAAUGGACGAAAGUCUGACGGAGCAACGCCGCGUGAGUGAUGACGGCCUUCGGGUUGUAAAGCUCUGUUAAUCGGGACGAAAGGCCUUC